rnacentral:misc_RNA from 1 species
UUGAAUUUUAAUGAAGAGUUUGGUUGUAGCUGGCCCAUUCAUUUGGGCAUGUGCACACCUUCCUCUUUCAUCCCACACACACCUGUGAACCUGUGAGACAGAGAUGGGGAAUUUACCUGCUGCUUUUUGGAAUACAAAGGCAAUAGGUUGUUGGACCCCCCCUCUGUCUACUCAAUUAAUAUAAACUCAAUUUAUUUUAAAACGAAUGUAAUGGAUGUAACACAUCUCAUAC